CCAUUUGGAGUUGCGAAGGCCCUUAGUGAAGGAACCAAAGGACAUUGAGUGAACAUUCAGAGGCGUGUUAAGGACUGCAAAGUAUUUGAAGGGUAAGAUAAGUGGAGGAAGCUUUUGGGAUUGAAAAAGGAAAGCACCACAAAAGG